UUCCGGUUGAUCCUGCCGGACCUGACUGCUAUCGGAUUGAUACUAAGCCAUGUGAGUCAUUGUAGCAAUACAAGGCAGACGGCUCAGUAACACGUAGCCAAUCUAACCUAUGGACGGGGAUAACCUCGGGAAACUGAGGAUAAACCCCGAUAGAUCAUUAUGCCUGGAACGGUUUAUGGUCCAAACGAUUCGUCGCCAUAGGAUGAGACUGCGGCCUAUCAGCUUGUUGGUGAGGUAAUGGCCCACCAAGGCUAUUACAGGUACGGGCUCUGAGAGGAGAAGCCCGGAGAUGGGUACUGAGACACGGACCCAGGCCCUAUGGGGCGCAGCAGGCGAGAAACCUUUGCAAUGUGCGCAAGCACGACAAGGUUAAUCCGAGUGUUUCCUGCUAAGGGAAUCUUUUGCUAGUCCUAAAAACACUAGUGAAUAAGGGGUGGGCAAGUUCUGGUGUCAGCCGCCGCGGUAAAACCAGCACCUCAAGUUGUCAGGAGGAUUAUUGGGCCUAAAGCAUCCGUAGCCUGCUCUGUAAGUUUCCGGUUAAAUCCAUUUGCUCAACAAAUGGGCUGCCGGAAAAACUGCAAAGCUAGGGAGUGGGAGAGGUAGACGGUACUCGGUAGGAAGGGGUAAAAUCCUUUGAUCUAUUGAUGACCACCUGUGGCGAAGGCGGUCUACCAGAACACGUUCGACGGUGAGGGAUGAAAGCUGGGGGAGCAAACCGGAUUAGAUACCCGGGUAGUCCCAGCUGUAAACGAUGCAGACUCGGUGAUGCGCUGGCUUGUGGCCAGUGCAGUGCCGCAGGGAAGCCGUUAAGUUUGCCGCCUGGGAAGUACGUACGCAAGUAUGAAACUUAAAGGAAUUGGCGGGGGAGCACCACAAGGGUGAAGCCUGCGGUUCAAUUGGAGUCAACGCCGGA
rnacentral:rRNA from 1 species